AUCCCACCACCGCCACCAUUAUUGCUACUGUUGAGCAGGUGCUGCUGGUGGUGAUGGUGAUAGUCUGGUGGGGGCGGUGG
ensembl:miRNA